UCGCAACAUUUUUUUGGGGUAUUUCUGAUUCAGUGUUUGUGUUGAGGUUAAUAUUUUGUUGGGAGAUGGUAUUAAAUAAAUUAAUUGGAUAAAAAUGUCUGUAAAUGACUGCUGAAGUGUAAAAAAGUGAGAUGGACCUAUAGAAUAAAGAUUUGGAAUUAAUGAGUGAUUUAAUGUUUCUCCUAACAAUCUCGCAAGAUGCAAGAACCUCUGAAGCAAUGCUUCUGUCUUCAAUCUGAUUAAUGUCAAAAGAAUCUGAGCCUAUAUAAAGUGAGCAAAGUUUACUGAGUUGAUCAAAAGUUGUUUUAUGUUGGCUAGUACUGGAGAGCCCUUUUCUUUCAUACUCAAGAAAAGUUUCAGGAGAUGAAAGUUCUUCAAAACACCCAAGUGAAAGAGGAGGAAGAAUCUCUCCUCCAAUUUCUUGGUCAUUACUGAAUAAUUCUGUAUCAAAUUCAUUACAAAAUUCAAUUAAUUGACUUUUUGAAAGAUGAGAGUAUUCUGCUGAAGUUUUAUAAAGUUUGGAAAUGUUUAUUAAUGUAUCAAGUACUAUAUUAUUCUGAUUAUUGUUAUUGUUUAAUAUAGUAAUACCAGAACGAUCUUCAAUUUUAUUACUGUCAUCUUUUCCAUUCAAUUCAUCUGAAAUUACAUUAUCGCAUUGGCUAUUAUUAUUAUUAAUAUUAAUCACAAUAUUUUGAAUUGAUCUAGCAAUUGAAGAGAGAAUAUCACCAAGGUUUUCAUUUUCAAACUUAAACGUACAAUUCUCUCUACAAGAUUCUGAAAUUCUGGAAAUGAUUUUUUCGUGUUUAUUACCUAUAGAUAAUGGGAUUAACGAGAAUUCAAGUCCAUCUGGAUAUUUAUGAUGAUUAUUCUGACAUAGCUUUGUAUCUUCUUUUAUACUUUGAUCUUGAAUAAAGCUCUUAUUAACAAGGUGAAAAAAAAGUACUGAAGCAAGUUUUUGCAAUGUCUGAGAAAGCCAUAGUGAUGACAAAAAUUUAAAUUUUGGAUGAUUUGUUCCAAAUUCUCGAAGUGUUCUACAAUGAAUCUUUAAAUGAAUCAUUGCUUUUUGGAUCUCACCAUUUAUCACAUGAAUGUGGUAAAGUCUUAAACUUAUUAUAUUGCAAAGAAUUACAAAUUGAUAAGAAGGUAUACUUGUCUCGUUCAUUAUAUUAUCCCAAGCUGCAAUAUACUGUUUUACAGCCAAUGCAAAAUUCCCACAAAACUCAUUCAUUACAGCACUCUUUAUACAAUAUCUUAUUAAUAAUACUUUUGAUUGGAGUUGAGUCAUUGUUUGACAACCAUUCCCAGAAGUACUUGAGGCAAAAGAAUUAUUCUUAUUGGAUCUAGAUAAAGUAUUUGCAUUUGUCAAGCUUACAUUCUUGAGAAGAUUAUUCACACUAUUUGAGCUUGAAUUAGCUGCUGAAAAGAAUGAAUUUCUACCAAAUCUUGGAGAUAAACUAGAUUGUAUACUAUUCGAUACAGAAUAUCUUAAUCCAGUGGAUGAACUUUUCAUUGAUAAACUUCCAAUAAAUGAAUCACUUGAAGCCGUUAUACCAGCUGUCUGUGCUUUAAUUGCAGACUUUCUCCAUCUUCGCUCAUUCUCACUAUAAUAUGCUUGAGCCGUUUCAUAAGCCAUUUCAGCUAAUCUCUCAAUUCUGAUAUUUAAUUGUUUUUGAUGUUUUAAUCCACAUGUUACAAAUAUUGCCUGUAGCUCAGGAAAAUGAUUUCUUCUGAAACAAGUUACACAUGAUUGAGGAUCUGGAGUACCUGAUGGUAAAAUUACAAAAAUUAAUACUGAUGGUGGGGAUUGUCUCUUUUUUAAUAUGGAUGUAAUAUUUUUAAUUAUAUUAAGAGCAUCAUUUUCAAGUUCAUUAAUAAUUUCUUGAUCUUGAUUAUUUUCUGUUUCUUCCGAAUUUGAAUUAUUGGUAUUUAUUGGGUAUUUCUGCCAGUCAAAACAAAGAAUAUAUAGAGCUGGUGUUUCAUAUCUAACUUUAUUCAUCCAAUUUAUAUUCAAAAUAUCGAUUCCUCCAAGAUAAUUACCAGUUCGAUUCCCUAAUAUUACACAAUUUGAAUUUGAAAUUGAAUAUGGAGAUUUUAAUAGAGUUUUUGAUGGAGAUGUUGCACUUGGUGUUGGAGUUGGAUUAAUAAGCUCUGAAUAAGUCAUGCAUUUCAACUCUAGGUAUUUGUCACAAGGGAAACAUGAUUUUGGUCUAAAUGAAUCAAUACUUUUUGAAAUAUGCUCCUGUAUAUUUUUUGGAGCUAUUAAAGCAAUUAAAGGCUUGAAGUAGCCUUGCCAAUCGGGAUGAAAUCCUUCCAUUUUUAAUUAUUUUUUUUUUAAUAGCCUUUAAUCAAAAAAAAUGUUUCAUCAAAAGUUUUGUUUUACCACAUUAGUAAUUAAUAAUUCCU
rnacentral:antisense_RNA from 1 species